rnacentral:rRNA from 1 species
AGGUCUUGCCUGCCCAGUGACUAGUUAAACGGCCGCGGUAUUUUGACCGUGCGAAGGUAGCGCAAUCACUUGUCUUUUAAAUGAAGACCUGUAUGAAUGGCGGAACGAGGGCUUAACUGUCUCCCCUUUCAAGUCAAUGAAAUUGAUCUGCCCGUGCAGAAGCGGACAUAUAAAUACAAGACGAGAAGACCCUUUGGAGCUUAAGAUAUAAAAUCAACUACGUCAAGGGCACACAAGCCAAACUAAGUAGCACCUGAUAGGUAUCUUCGGUUGGGGCGACCACGGGAGAAAACAAAGCUCCCAUGAGGACUGGGGCUAUACCCUAAAACCAAGAAAGACAUUUCUAAGUCACAGAACAUCUGACCAUAAAGAUCCGGCCAUCCGCCGAUCAACGGACCAAGUUACCCUAGGGAUAACAGCGCAAUCCCCUUUCUGAGUCCAUAUCGACAAGGGGGUUUACGACCUCGAUGUUGGAUCAGGACAUCCUAUUGGUGCAGCCGCUAUUAAGGGUUCGUUUGUUCAACGAUUAAAGUCCUACGUGAUCU